rnacentral:rRNA from 1 species
AGUGAACGCUGGCGGUAGGCCUAACACAUGCAAGUCGAACGGCAGCACAGUAAGAGCUUGCUCUUACGGGUGGCGAGUGGCGGACGGGUGAGGAAUACAUCGGAAUCUACUUUUUCGUGGGGGAUAACGUAGGAAACUUACGCCAAUAACGCAAAAGACCUACGGGUUAAAGCCGGGGGUUUUUGGACCUUGCGCCAUUGGAUGAGGCGAUGUCGGAUUAGCUAGUUGGCGGGGUAAAGGCCCACCAAGGCGACGAUCCGUAGCUGGUCUGAGAGGAUGAUCAGCCACACUGGAACUGAGACACGGUCCAGACUCCUACGGGAGGCAGCAGUGGGGAAUAUUGGACAAUGGGCGCAAGCCUGAUCCAGCCAUACCGCGUGGGUGAAGAAGGCCUUCGGGUUGUAAAGCCCUUUUGUUGGGAAAGAAAAGCAGCAGGUUAAUACCCCGCUGUUCUGACGGUACCCAAAGAAUAAGCACCGGCUAACUUCGUG